CACGCAGGCGGUCUGUUAAGUCAGAUGUGAAAUCCCCGGGCUUAACCUGGGAACUGCAUUUGAAACUGGCAGGCUUGAGUCUCGUAGAGGGGGGUAGAAUUCCAGGUGUAGCGGUGAAAUGCGUAGAGAUCUGGAGGAAUACCGGUGGCGAAGGCGGCCCCCUGGACUGUAACUGACGCUGAGGCGCGAAAGCGUGGGGAGCAAACAGGAUUAGAUACCCCAGUA
rnacentral:rRNA from 1 species